UACGGAGGGUGCAAGCGUUAUCCGGAUUCACUGGGUUUAAAGGGUGCGUAGGUGGGUUGGUAAGUCAGUGGUGAAAUCUCCAGGCUUAACUUGGAAACUGCCAUUGAUACUAUCAAUCUUGAAUACCGUGGAGGUCAGCGGAAUAUGUCAUGUAGCGGUGAAAUGCUUAGAGAUGACAUAGAACACCAAUUGCGAAGGCGGGUCUCUGGACAGUUCCUGACGCUGAGGCACGAAGGCCAGGGGAGCAAACGGG
rnacentral:rRNA from 1 species